AUUGAACGCUGGCGGCAUGCUUUACACAUGCAAGUCGAACGGUAACAGGCCUUCGGGUGCUGACGAGUGGCGAACGGGUGAGUAAUGCAUCGGAACGUGCCCAAUCGUGGGGGAUAACGUAGCGAAAGUUACGCUAAUACCGCAUAAGCCCUGAGGGGGAAAGUGGGGGACCGCAAGGCCUCACGCGAAUGGAGCGGCCGAUGUCAGAUUAGCUAGUUGGUGGGGUAAGAGCCUACCAAGGCGACGAUCUGUAGCGGGUCUGAGAGGAUGAUCCGCCACACUGGGACUGAGACACGGCCCAGACUCCUACGGGAGGCAGCAGUGGGGAAUUUUGGACAAUGGGGGCAACCCUGAUCCAGCCAUGCCGCGUGUGGGAAGAAGGCCUCGGUUGUAACCG
rnacentral:rRNA from 1 species